rnacentral:rRNA from 1 species
UCUCGGGUUACCGAAUUCAGACAAACUCCGAAUGCCAAUUAAUUUAACUUGGGAGUCAGAACAUGGGUGAUAAGGUCCGUGUUCGAAAGGGAAACAGCCCAGACCACCAGCUAAGGUCCCAAAAUAUAUGUUAAGUGGAAAAGGAUGUGGCGUUGCCCAGACAACUAGGAUGUUGGCUUAGAAGCAGCCAUCAUUUAAAGAGUGCGUAAUAGCUCACUAGUCGAGUGACACUGCGCCGAAAAUGUACCGGGGCUAAACAUAUUACCGAAGCUGUGGAUUGUCCUUUGGACAAUGGUAGGAGAGCGUUCUAAGGGCGUUGAAGCAUGAUCGCAAGGACAUGUGGAGCGCUUAGAAGUGAGAAUGCCGGUGUGAGUAGCGAAAGACGGGUGAGAAUCCCGUCCACCGAUUGACUAAGGUUUCCAGAGGAAGGCUCGUCCGCUCUGGGUUAGUCGGGUCCUAAGCUGAGGCCGACAGGCGUAGGCGAUGGAUAACAGGUUGAUAUUCCUGUACCACCUAUAAUCGUUUUAAUCGAUGGGGGGACGCAGUAGGAUAGGCGAAGCGUACGAUUGGAUUGUACGUCUAAGCAGUGAGAUUGAGUGUUAGGCAAAUCCG